rnacentral:rRNA from 1 species
UACGUAGGCAGCAAGCGUUGUUCGGAGUUACUGGGCGUAAAGGGUGCGUAGGCGGUCCUAUAAGUAUGGUGUGAAAUCUCCCGGCUUAACUGGGAGGGUGCGCUAUAGACUGUGGGACUAGAGUGUGGGAGAGGAAAGUGGAAUUCCUGGUGUAGCGGUGGAAUGCGCAGAUAUCAGGAAGAACACCAACGGCGAAGGCAGCUCGCUGGGACGGUACUGACGCUGAGACGCGAAAGCGUGGGGAGCGAACAGG